rnacentral:rRNA from 1 species
GAUGAACGCUAGCUACAGGCUUAACACAUGCAAGUCGAGGGGAAACGAUGAGAGAGCUUGCUCUCUUAGGCGUCGACCGGCGCACGGGUGAGUAACGCGUAUCCAACCUACCAAUUACGGGGGGCUAACCUUGCGAAAGUAAGACUAAUACCCCAUGGCAUUUUAUGGUGGCAUCAUUAUAGGAUUCAAGAUUUCUUGGUAAUGGAUGGGGAUGCGUCUGAUUAGCUUGUUGGCGGGGUAACGGCCCACCAAGGCAACGAGCAGUAGGGGUUCUGAGAGGAAGGUCCCCGAAAUUGGAACUGGGACCCGGUCCAAACUCGAACGGGAGGCAGCAGUGAGGAAGAAUGGGGAAUGAGCGAGAGCUUGAACCAGCCAAUUAGCGUGCAGGAUGACGGCCCUAUGGGUUGUAAUCUGCUUUUAUAGGGGAAUAAAGUGAGCUACGUGUAGUUUAUGGCAGGUACCCUAUAAAUAAGGACCGGCUAAUUCCGG